rnacentral:lncRNA from 1 species
GGAUGGAGGUUGAUUGACACUCCCCAACCCCCCACCUCCGAUCUCCAAGCGGAGUUUGUCGGCAGCAACAGGCACGGUUUCUGUUGCUGAGAUGAAACGCCAUGACCAAGAAGCAAGUUGAGGAGGAAAGGGUUUAUUCAGCUUACACUUCCAUACUGCUGUUCAUCACCAAAAGAGGUCAGGACUGGAGCUCCACCCAGGGCAGGAACCUGGAGGCAGGAGCUGAUGCAGAGGCCAUGGAGGGGCAUUGUUGACUGGCUUGCUCUUCAAGGGCACCAACUGUUCUGAUCUCUUGAAGAGCUCCUCAGGCAACCUUCUGUUUCUAGCAAGAUGAUACACCCAAGCCUUGAUGACAAGGCUUGGCUCUCAACCUCCUUGCUCCCCACCUCCUGUGAAAUACACAAAGAAAUUCAGUGAUCAUCGGGGAUGCUCUGGUCCAAACACUACCUGCCAGCCAGACGCAGGAGAUGGAUGGCUCAGCAGUAAUCGUGCUGCUUGAGCUUGGUGUCUAAUGGGGACAGUAGUGACAGGAAGUUCACAGGGACUGGAAGACAUGAGUUCUCUGAGGGAAAGGAAGGUGAAGCCUGGUGCUUAGGACCCUCAGGAGACCAUAGGAUGUGAGAAGGCUCAAGACACCCAGAGGUGGGGUCAGAAACAGGGCAAAGGAGACCAAGCAUGGGAGAGCUGCAGUGGACGUGUACAGACAGGAGAAGCAGGCCCUAAAGAAUCCCUGAGGCGGCAGAGAGGCUGGGCUGUGGAACUUUUUAAUUACUUUGCAUUAGGGGACUGUAGAGACCCAGAAGCCCACCCUUCCCCUCCCCUCAUCAGCUUAGCCCCAACAUAUGGUGGCUACCAAAGUAGUUAAAUCGGCUCUUGGUAGAAAAGGAAAGAGAUUCCUCCCAGGCUCUUCCCAGGGUCCACGGCCACACUCCAGGAGGGCUCAACUCCAGGGCAAGGCAGCUGGGACAGCAGGCAGCUGAAGGAGGACUAUUACUGCACCUUAGGGAAGAGUGCAGUGGCGAGUGGGGAGGACUCUGCUGGGACCCGGGGGUCAUGUGCAUUCCCAUUUAGUUGAGCUCUGCUUAAUCCGGGCCUAGGCUCACAGUAAUGGGGAACGAGGAGAGGCUCCCAUCAGAGACCAAGAAGAUGACAGACUCUCUGUAAAGGCUGUCAGAGGGGUCUGCAUGACCAACCACACCUGCUCCUGUUCCUUUGGGGCUCUUGUGACCUCCCUGUCUUCUUGUGAGAUCUUAUGUUCCUCCAACCCUGAGAGCUACAAACCAAUCUCCGGAAUAAAAAAAUCUGUCCCUCGUGCUGU